GCAAACAUGGCCUAGUGCUUUGAGUGUUGGACUACAACUCAGGAGACCUGGGUUCGAUUCCCAGCUUGGCC